rnacentral:rRNA from 1 species
AGCAGUCGCCGCGGGAAUACGUAGGGUGCGAGCGUUAAUCGGAAUUACUGGGCGUAAAGCGUGCGUAGGCGGUUUGUUAAGUCUGCUGUGAAAUCCCCGGGCUCAACCUGGGAAUGGCAGUGGAUACUGGCAAGCUAGAGUGUGUCAGAGGAUGGUGGAAUUCCCGGUGUAGCGGUGAAAUGCGUAGAGAUCGGGUGGAACAUCAGUGGCGAAGGCGGCCAUCUGGGACAACACUGACGCUGAGGCACGAAAGCGUGGGGAGCAAACAGGAUUAGAUACCCCUGUAGUCCCUGUCUCUUAUAA